CGGCGACCCUUACACAUGCAAGUCGAACGAUGAUGCCCAGCUUGCUGGGUGGAUAAGUGGCGAACGGGUGAGUAACACGUGAGUAACCUGCCCCUGACUCUGGGAUAAGCGUUGGAAAUAUAUACGUCUAAUACUGGAUAUGAUCACUGGCCGCAUGGUCUGGUGGUGGAAAGAUUUUUUGGUUGGGGAUGAACUCGCGGCCUAUCAGCUUGUUGGUGAGGUAAUGGCUCACCAAGGCGACGACGGGUAGCCGGCCUGAGAGGGUGACCGGCCACACUGGGACUGAGACACGGCCCAAACUCUACGGGAGGCAGCAGUGGGGAAUAUUGCACAAUGGGCGAAAGCCUGAUGCAGCAACGCCGCGUGAGNNAUGACGGCCUUCGGGUUGUAAMCCUCUUUUAGUAGGGAAGAAGCGAGAGUGACGGUACCUGCAGAAAAAGCACCGGCUAACUACGUGCCAGCAGCCGCGGUAAUACGUAGGGUGCAAGCGUUGUCCGGAAUUAUUGGGCGUAAAGAGCUCGUAGGCGGUUUGAAACGUCUGCUGUGAAAUCCCGAGGCUCAACCUCGGGCUUGCAGUGGGUACGGGCAGACUAGAGUGCGGUAGGGGAGAUUGGAAUUCCUGGUGUAGCGGUGGAAUGCGCAGAUAUCAGGAGGAACACCGAUGGCGAAGGCAGA
rnacentral:rRNA from 1 species